CAGCAGCCGCGGUAAUACGAAGGGGGCUAGCGUUGUUCGGAUUUACUGGGCGUAAAGGGCGCGUAGGCGGGCGAAUAAGUCAGGGGUGAAAUCCCAAGGCUCAACCUUGGAACUGCCUUUGAUACUGUUUGUCUUGAGUUCAAGAGAGGUAAUUGGAACUGCGAGUGUAGAGGUGAAAUUCGUAGAUAUUCGCAAGAACACCAGUGGCGAAGGCGGCUUACUGGCUCGAAACUGACGCUGAGGCGCGAAAGCGUGGGGAGCAAACAGGAUUAGAUACCCCCGUAGUCCCUGUCUCUUAUAC
rnacentral:rRNA from 1 species